UCUGGUGGCGAUGCGCUUAGGGGAAACACCCGUUCCCAUCCCGAACACGAUGGUUAAGACUUAAGCGGCCGAUGGUACUGCACUGGUAACGGUGUGGGAGAGCAGGUGGCUGCCAGAU
rnacentral:rRNA from 1 species